rnacentral:rRNA from 1 species
GGGCUUGACAUCCCACGAACCUGCCCGAAAAGGUGGGGUGCCCGCAAGGGAGCGUGGAGACAGGUGGUGCAUGGCUGUCGUCAGCUCGUGUCGUGAGAUGUUGGGUUAAGUCCCGCAACGAGCGCAACCCUCACCCCUAGUUGCCACCGGGUCAUGCCGAGCACUCGAGGGGAACUGCCAGCGUCAAGCUGGAGGAAGGCGGGGAUGACGUCAAGUCAUCAUGCCCCUUACGCCCUGGGCUACACACGUGCUACAAUGGCCAGUACAAAGGGACGCGAGACUGCGAAGUGGAGCUAAUCCCAAAAAGCUGGUCUAAGUUCAGAUUGCAGUCUGCAACUCGACUGCAUGAAGGAGGAAUCGCUAGUAAUCGCGCAUCAGCCCGGCGCGGUGAAUACGUUCCCGGGCCUUGUACACACCGCCCGUCACACCACGAAAGCUGUCUGUACUCGAAGUCGCUGAGA